AAAACGAUGGCCAUACCCAUGUAAAAUAAAAGUCGUAGCCUGAUGGCCUUAGCCAUAUAAGACGAUGGCCAUAGCCAUGUAAAAUAAAGGUCGUAGCCUGAUGGCCUUAUCCAUAUAAAAUGAUGAUCGUAGCCUUACGAAAAUGAUGGCCAUAGCCAUGUGAAAUAAAGGUCGUAGCCUGAUGAAAAACGAUGGUCAUAGCCAUGUAAAAUAAAGGCCGUAGCCUGAUGGCCUUAGCCAUAUAAGAUGACGGCCGUAGCCUUAUGAAAACGAUGGCCAUAGCCAUGUGAAAUAAAGGUCGUAGCCUGAUGAAAAAUGAUGGCCAUAGCCAUGUAAGAUAAAGGUCGUAGCCUGAUGAAAAACUAUGGCCAUAGCCAUGUAAAAUAAAGGUCGUAGCCUAAUGGCCUUAGCCAUAUAAGAUGAUGACCAUAGCCUAUGUAAAAUAAAGUCCAUAGCCUGAUGGCCUUAGCCAUAUAAAAUGAUAGUCGUAGCCUUACGAAAACAAUGGCCAUACCCAUGUGAAAUAAAGGCAGUAGCCUGAUGAAAAAUGAUGGCCAUAGUCAUGUAAGAUAAAGGCCGUAGCCUGAUAGAGAAACGAUGGCCAUGCUUAGUGAAGACAUGCUUAGUGACCUCAUGCCAUCACAAUAACAUUUGAUAAUUGCAUACAAUUUGAUCUAACACUUAAAUUGACGAAUGGUAACAUGAACAGUUACCUUAAGCUGCUACAUUUACCUAUUAAUUUACAAUUACAUAACCAUGAAAUUCAAUCAUGAUAUGAUCAACCUGUCAUCAUGUAAUACAUGGGUAACAUGGAUUUAUUAGAUGGCAAUGCAUACAAUUACUAGAGGCCCACUUAAUUGCUGAUUUUCUUCCAAACAAACCCACGAAAACAAAACUUUUAGACCAAAGUUAACUUAGUUAUUCUAUUAUCCUCAUAUGACACUAAGCACAGUUAAAGCUCAAAAUCAGAAGACUCUUGUACAUUCCAGUGAAUUUUUUUUUCCUGAAAUCAAUUUGAAAGCUAAAAAGGAAAGGACAAUUAGAUUUUUUUUUUGGAAUUUUUGAGCUAAAAAAUGAAGACCAAUCUAAAAUUGAAAAAGCAAGGAAAAUCAGAUUUUUGCUCUUGGAUUUUUGGGCUGAAAAAGGUUGAAGACCCUUCCCCCAAUGCAUAAAAUGCCUAUUUAUAGGAACAAAUAAGGGCAACACUUGCAAAUUUUCUUUUUACCCUUUACCCCCCCUCCCCCCAUCCUUGAAUUUUCAUUUUUGCUUCAAUACCCCUAAAGUUAUGACUUGUCCCCAAGUUAUUUCCUAAGUUUUUCAGAAAUGUGCACUAAAGCCUUAUUCUAGGAGCUUCUAUGAUGCUCUUUGAGCUGUACAAUUCCUAGACUAUUCUUAAAUCUAUAUUGCAAUUACCAAUUCUCACAAUACUACUAUUUUCAUCCCCAAAUUACCCUUUAAACAGUCUAAAAAUUACAUACUAAGCUAGUUGAGCCCAAACCCUCACCCAAGCUGCCCAAAUAUCCCUUGGGUCUUUAAUUAAACCAAAAUUAGCCUAUUAAUCAUAAUCAACCAGUUUCAAGGACUAAACUAAAUUAAACAACAAACGAACCAGUUACUCUAAGAAGACGAGUAAUGUAAUAAGCAACCAUGGAAUCUCAAACAACCAGAUAACAAAUGUAAUUUUAAAAGAAAUAUCCAAGCACUAACAAAAUCUAAAACAGUGGCCACCGCUAAUCAGAUUAAGAUAUGAAUUAAACUAUCAAUAGACUAAUUGAAUUCAAAUGGCAAAGACAGAGAAGAAACUAUUACCUAUGACAGACCAGGUAAGAGAUUGAAAGAAAAUCGAUUCGAGUCCCGGAAUAACAUUAAUCGUUUGUUCUUUGAAGAACAAACAUAAAAAAUGUUAUUCAGUGGCUCAAAUCGAACACCAGACUUCGAAGAAUCAAGAAAAAUUACACAACAGUGAACUCUUAUGGAUCCACCUCUUUUAUGAUUCGAAAUUCGAGAAUCUUCGGUGAUAUUUGAAGGAAGAUAAUGAGAGAUUCGAAAAGAGAAGGAGCAUGAGAAUGUAGGAUGUAACUUCGGGGUCAUUUGGACAAACUUGCCGGAAUCUUCAACUCAAGAUUCGAAUAGCUGGAGAGUGAUUCGAGGGACAACAAUUAGGGAUUCGAGAAGAGGGUAGUGAGGCGGUCUUGGGGUGUUAUUUUGGUUGAUAUUGGGGUGGUUUUCGCCACCCUUAGGCGGUGGGAUUUGGUGGCGGCUCGGCUAGGGUUUGGGAGGGGUAAGGAA
rnacentral:lncRNA from 1 species